UGCGUGUGUUUCUGCGUGUGAGUGUACUUAUUAUAUAUAUGUAUAUACAGAAUGCGUUGUUAUAUAUAAUAAAUUUAAUAAUUAAUUACUCGAUCAUUAUAAAUUAUUUAUUAACUUUUAUGAGCUCGUAUAAAUCUUGAGAGUCCAUAGAACAUUUGUAGCAUCUAAAUAUUUAUAAUUUAUUCGUGGAAAUUAAAUAAAAUAUACUUUGAUCAAUGACAUGUAUCCAGGUUAAUAAGACGAAGCGACUAUUUAUAAAAUAGUUAAUUAUUAGGCACGUUUUAUAUACUUUUAUGAUAUCUUAUUACUCCAACGAGUCCGUGGAACAUCAUGAAUACUUAAAUGUGACAAAUUUUUUCUUAUUAUUUAAUUAUCAAUAAAGAUAUUGUCUCUAUACACCAAUUCAAAUUUGGCGCUGGCACUUGUGCCAUCUAGCGUGACGACUAGAAAUUAAUGGAUUAGCGCUCGACCUCCUCAUUCUUUCUGUGUUCCUAUUAAAAAUUGAAGAUUUUUGGCGAGAAGUUGCCGACCAAUUUGUAAGGAUUCAUAUGUAUUUGUGUGAGCGCGUGUGUGUGUGUGCGAGCGCGCGGGCGUGUGUGUAUUAAGUAUUUGUUUUUCAAAAAUUAAAUAAAUGAUACUCUUCUAACAAGUGCUUUCAAUACACAAGAAACUUUACAGUUAUAAAUUAUAAAAUCAUAGAAUUUUGUGAAACAUAAUAGAAAAAAAUUAAAUCUACUCUUUAGAUCAUUAACAACAGGUUCUUAUACUUGAUACAGUGAUAAAAAUUGUAAUAAACAGGUUGUCAAAUUCUUUCUACGUCAAACAAUUACUCUAAUUUUGCGAUAGAAUACUUACACGACAUUUCAAAAAGAAACUGCAAUGAGUAUAGAACAUUAAGUACCCGAAACAUUGAAUACUCUUAUUAUUUGAAAUAAUAGUUUACCAAAAUCGAUAUACUCAUAAAAAACUUGCUAAAAUCACAGCAAUAUGAACAAAAAAAUAGAAUGAUGUAUUAUGUAUCGUUAGUAGAAUGUUCACAGUUCAUUCUUAUUGUCCAGUCAUUACUAAUUACAGAUAUUUGCAAUUAAAAAUUUCAAUUACCAUUACCAUUUCAGAUAAAAUUUCAAUUUAGUCUAAUGCUGAUUCUCUCAAAUAUGAUAAAUAACUGGAACUGGUUCGCCAUUCUUGAACUGGAUGAUAAUAAAAUCUUUGUAUCGUUUGAGCUAUAAACCUGUCAUAAAACAUGCAACAAGAUAAGAAUAUUAUUUAGGAAGGUAAAACUUAUAGUUUCUAAAAUUUUGAAGUAUUGAUGCUGAAGUGUAAUACCUUGUCACAUGUAUUUAAAUUUCUACAUCUUGAAAGAUUGCCUUUCUACAGAUGCUUGGACUAUGUAUUAUUGCAAAAAAAAGCUUUCUGUUACAAUCUGGUACAUGAAAUAAUAAGUAAGUUGUAUGUCCUUCAAGGGAAAACAAUGUAUAAUAACGUUAAUAAGCAUACAAUACCUGCUAUGAAAUAUAUGUAAGUAAAAUGUAAAACGAAGCAGAUUUCUGAUUAAGUAUGUCGGGUACUUGAUAAACAAUAUCAAUGAAUAUGACAAUGAAGUCAUUUUUUAAACAUUAUAUAAAUCAAAUCGUUCAGAAGACCUGCGAACGUAAAAAUAUUAUUUAGAAGGGAAAGAUUCAAAGAUUUUAAAACUUUGAAGUAUCGAUAGUAAAGUGUAAUACCAUUUUAUACUUAUUUAAAUUCCUUCGACUUGCAGACUGUCUUUAUCUACAGAUGUAUAAACAAUAUGAUUAAAAAACUAUCACAGAGGGAAACUAAAAAAUAAUAACAGUAGAUGAAAUGCAACGGAAAAUAAUUAAAAGAUAUUUAAAUGAUUGUGAGACUAAGAUGAUUUUUUUUAUUAUGACACGGUGAUUUUCAAUUUCUGAUAAAUAGAUCAGAAUAGAAAAUAGAACAGGAAUAUAUUAAAAAAUUUAUUGCUAAAUAUAUUUAAAAUGAUAUGAAAUAAUCGAAAAGAGUAUAAUAAUUAAUUAAUAUAACAUUGCUAACCCCAUGUUUAUUCAUCAAUGUAGUUUACAAUACAAGUUCAAAUUCGGCGCUGGGAUUUGUGCCAUCUAGCGUAAUAUCUAGUAAUUAAUGAAUAAGUGAUCGACCUCCUCUAUGGUUCUGUGUUCCUAUUAAAAAUUCAAGAUUUUUGCGACAAUAAGCAUCCAAUUGUAGACGUUGUAUCUCUCUCUCUCUCACUCCUCUCUCACUCUCUCUCUCUCUCUCUCUCUCUCUCUCUCUCUCUCACUCUCUCAGUGUGUGCGUGUGUUUCUGCGUGUGAGUGUUCUUAUUAUAUAUAUGUAUAUACAGAAUGCGUUGUUAUAUAUAAUAAAUUUAAUAAUUAAUUA